UAGAUGACAAUGUAUAUACUUAUCACAUUAUAUAGGUGUUGCAACAACGUAUAUACUUUAUCACAUUAUAAGUCCUCACACCAUCAACUAUGACAAAAUCUGAGAGUAUAAGUCUGGUUACAUUCACCCAAGUCCAAACAUAAAAUUCUGUCCAACAUAGUACAGCCCACUUUGAUAAUUUCAUAGGGUUUAAUAUACCGAACGAAACCUGACAAGUGAUAUGUGUUUUAAGUAUCUACAGAACAACCUCUAAAAUUUUCAUGUUGUAACUUUAUUUUAAUACCACCUCUAACAGGGCCUAAUCUCCCAUAUCAAAAUACUGUACCCAGGAACAUAUAUUUCGGGACAGCAAACUAAACUGAUAGCUGCUCUCAAACCGUACAUCCAAACGACACAAAUAAAUACUCUAAAGAAACCUUGAAACUUUAUCUAAAACUUAUGUGAAGGGGCCAACUCAAAAUUCUGAGCCUAGCUAACUCGUUUUUCAGAUAUAAGCUUGCUUGUUUUCCAUUGUACCUGAAGAACUAGCUGUUGUUGCUCCUCUGCCCGUGCUGCUGAUGCUCCUCUUCCGCUGAUCCAAGUGACUGUGCUGUGCUGCUGCUGAUUAGAACAAUUUUGCUCCUUUGCACUCUGAAGAAGGUACUCCGUCAGAGUACUGUACCUGAAAAUUAAUGAAGUUGAUUUUGUGUUAACUGAAUCAUGACAAUGCCAAUAAAGGAGUAAAUUCAGUUGUU
rnacentral:lncRNA from 1 species